rnacentral:rRNA from 1 species
CUUAUGAAGUUAGCGGCGGACGGGUGAGUAACACGUGGGUAACCUGCCCAUAAGACUGGGAUAACUCCGGGAAACCGGGGCUAAUACCGGAUAACAUUUUGAACUGCAUGGUUCGAAAUUGAAAGGCGGCUUCGGCUGUCACUUAUGGAUGGACCCGCGUCGCAUUAGCUAGUUGGUGAGGUAACGGCUCACCAAGGCAACGAUGCGUAGCCGACCUGAGAGGGUGAUCGGCCACACUGGGACUGAGACACGGCCCAGACUCCUACGGGAGGCAGCAGUAGGGAAUCUUCCGCAAUGGACGAAAGUCUGACGGAGCAACGCCGCGUGAGUGAUGAAGGCUUUCGGGUCGUAAAAC